rnacentral:rRNA from 1 species
GACGAACGCUGGCGGCGUGCUUAACACAUGCAAGUCGAACGGUAAGGCCCCUUCGGGGGUACCCGAGUGGCGAACGGGUGAGUAACACGUGAGCAACCUGCCCUUGACUCUGGAAUAACAGUUGGAAACAGCUGCUAAUACUGGAUAUUCAUCGUCUCCUUCCUGGGGGGUGGUGGAAAGCUCCGGCGGUCAGGGAUGGGCUCGCGGCCUAUCAGCUUGUUGGUGAGGUAAUGGCUCACCAAGGCUUCGACGGGUAGCCGGCCUGAGAGGGCGACCGGCCACACUGGGACUGAGAUACGGCCCAGACUCCUACGGGAGGCAGCAGUGGGGAAUAUUGCACAAUGGGCGCAAGCCUGAUGCAGCAACGCCGCGUGCGGGAUGACGGCCUUCGGGUUGUAAACCGCUUUCAGUAGGGACGAAGGGUGACUGACGGUACCUACAGAAGAAGGACCGGCUAACUACGUG